rnacentral:rRNA from 1 species
GACGAACCGAGCGAACGUUGUUCGGAAUCACUGGGCUUAAAGGGCGCGUAGGCGGGUUCGCAAGUCUGUGGUGAAAUCCUCCGGCUCAACCGGAGAACUGCCUCGGAUACUGCGGGUCUCGAGGGUGAUAGGGGUAUGCGGAACUAUCGGUGGAGCGGUGAAAUGCGUUGAUAUCGAUAGGAACUCCGGUGGCGAAGGCGGCUCACUGACCCGUAACUGACGCUGAGGCACGAAAGCGUGGGGAGCAAACAGG